rnacentral:rRNA from 1 species
UGUACGGAAUGGAUAAGCGCUGAAAGCAUCUAAGCGCGAAGCCAACUUCAAGAUAAGAUUUCCCACCGCAAGGGUAAGACCCCAGAAAGACUAUCUGGUUGAUAGGUCGAAGGUGUAAGUGCAGCAAUGUAUUUAGCUUAUCGAUACUAAUAGGUCGAGGACUUGACCAAU